AUGUCUGGAGCCCAAGGCGCACAGCCCAAGGGAGCUUUCACGGCGACCACGUACAGGUCGGCGGCAGCUCCCGACGGCGCGGAGGAGUGCCAGCAGCAGCAGUCGCCAAGGACAGAGCUACGCUCGAGCAAGGACGAGCAUGGGUUACCGGUGAAGAUGCUCGAGGAGAAGGUCGAGGACGCCUCUGGGAAGGGCGGCCCGGUGUUCGGCGCCGGCGCGGAGGACGGCAAGCCGGACCUGGGCGUCACAGGCACCGGCGGAGGCUAA
rnacentral:rRNA from 1 species